GGGGUCGACUGGUUUUGACAGCGAGUCUAAUUGGGUAGUAAGCACGUCGAGCGCUGGGAUAUAGCUCGUAAAUCUCAUGUUUCACACUUUUUUAAACGGCGAAAAUAAUUACGCCUUAGCUGCAUAAUCUGAAUUAUAGUAAGAUUUGCCUUUGUCCCUACUAGGUAGGGAGCUAAGAUGUCUCGCGGAAGCCUUGAUUUACGGCGUCUGCACUAGAGGCACCGAUAAAGUAAAUAUAGAAACCAUAGGGUCUUGAUGUGGUUUUGAAACUUAAUUGAGAAUACGUGUAAAGUUGGUGGUUUUCGGCCGGCUUUAUGCCGACAAUUAAAUGAAAACUAAGCGUGUAGAAAGCUGUUUAAUUGCUUGUUUGGACGGGAGUUCGAAUCUCCCCGACUCCACUU
rnacentral:tmRNA from 2 species